UGGCAUGGGGCAGGAACCCCAAGGGUGGGGUCCAGUGUGUGUGGGGGGAUGUGGGGAUUGCCUUAUGGGGUCAGAGUGGAGGUUGGGGUCCUCUAGAGAAGAAAACCCAUGGGGGCAGAUAAGUGUGAAGUUUUGGGAGAUACAGCUGAGGAGGAGUCCUUCGAGGAGCAGAAGGAGGUGGAAGCGCAGGUUUGGGUUUGGUGGGGGAGUAAAAGCACCCUGGAGGGUGACGGCUGCCCCAAGGACAUGGGAGAGGCCUUGUGGAAGGACUGUGUACUACCUGGGAAGGGGGCUAGCUGGUGGGCUCCGGGCGGGGGCCCUGCUGUGUGGGGAUCCCCUUCCCUACGGCUGCUUUCCCAGCAGAGCCCAUCUUGGAGCUGGGGUAGCAGCUACCGUGGGGGUCCUGGCCCCCUCUGACUCCCCCCGGCUCAGGCACUGGGUGCCAGGGAAAAAGGAGCAUCCCCCGAGGACACAGCCCCGAGUACGGGGGCGCCAACAGGCUCCUGACCUGUUGCUGCGAUUGCUGUGGGAGGCUCCUGGGGAUGCCGAUACAGCAGAGCUUGGUUUUAAUAAUGCCUCCUGUCCCUUGUGAUCAGCUGCAAGCUCUUUCCUUUCCGUGGGAUGUUGAAAAUUUCCGAAUCGAGCCUGGGAGUAGAAACCAGCAUUUUCUCCUUUGAAAUCACCCCUACUUGACUUAUGCCUCCUUGCUGGUUUUGCCUCUCUGUCUGUGACUGGGUCUCUGACCCUGUUUGCCUAACUAGUUCAGCAGCACGACUUAGAAUUCCCUCCCUUCCCUAUUGCUGAGGCUUUAUUUAAAAGCACUCCUGACCUGGGCUGUACCUCUCAGCUUUGCUCCCCUGGAGGACGGGCGUGCAGCCGGGUACCUGCCCACACUGCUCUGGGUACCGGCACAUGCUGCUCCAGGUACUGGAAGACACUGCUCCAGGUACAAGCAGAUGCUGCUGCAGGUACCGGUGGACAUUGCUCUGCUCGUGGGGAGACAUGUGGAGAGGGGGGCGAAGAAACACUGGCAGCAGGGAAAACUUUUGCACCUUGCAGGCUGCUGCCUUCCUGUAGCCAGGCUGUGACUCCUGCGGUCCCUGCUCCUGUGCCCCCGCCUGUCCCCCCUCUUUUGCCCAGCUGUGAAAGGCUGAGAGAGCCGAGAGUCUGGAGAACACGUUGAUGUGAAAUCUUGCUUGACUACAGAAUAUGAGUGUCAAGGGAGUGAGUUUUACACUCUCCAGAAGAAGCCAAGGGCAUUUAGAUUUAAGGAAUCUGGUGCUGACUUCCUGGCUUAUGCUUUUACAAGAAGUUGGGGGGGGCAGGGGGGAGACUUGCAGUGAUGGGUUGAGAAGUGAUUUUCUGAGUUAAUGCUGAAAUUUUUUUCUUUUAUGGACUUUAUUUCAGAAUUUUUAUGUUACCUCACUGGGUUAUUUUGCUUAAUUUUAUUAUCCUUAUUCCUUUACAAUGCAUGUGAUUUCCUUGACCCUAUCUCUGUGUAACACAAACACAGGCAAAUAACACAGUUUAAGGACACUUUAAUGAACGUGGUGCUCUGUGAUGUCCACAGGGGUGAAUAAUAAAAUAACUGGCACAUCCUUAACCAGCGUUAUGUGAAACAUGCAGCUGGAAUAUUCACACAGUCAAGCGUAUCUUGGCAGAGGAGCUUGGACAUCCAGAAAAGGGUUUGCUCUCUUCAGAUUACAAAACUUUUAACAGGUUGUUGUAGCCAUUAGGAAAAACAAACAAAUAAAGGAAACAAAACAAAAUAAACCCAAAACAAACAAAAAAAACCAAAAACAAACCUACAACCAAAACCAAGACAUGAAUUUGCCAGCUUCACUUGAUACUCCUCUGCUCAGAUUCACAUCCUUGCUUCCCUUUGCAGCAUGCCUGCAAAACAUAUACGAGGGUUUGCUUUUCUUUUAAAGCAGUGACAAGGAAAGCAGUCUGGCACUUGAAGAGCAGGGAUUGGAAUUCCCUUUCAAAUGCUGAUGUCAAGCUAGUUUCAUGAGUACCCUGAGAGCAGGUUUUUGCCUGCAAAAGGCAGGUGUUGAGGCUUUUUAAUUUUUUUAAGUGCUUAAAGGUAUUUGCCCUUUUUCCCCUUUACAGUUUGAAAAGGCUCCUUUGGCUGAUUCAGGGCUGGAAUGCAGAGCUCGUGCUAUUCCUAAAUUAAGAGGCUGGCAAGUUUUUUUGUCCCUGAUGAGAGGCAGAAGGAUUGCCCAAAUGAAACAAGGAAUAAAACUCUGCAAAUUCUCCUGCUGUGGCUGCAGCAUUGUUUAGUCUUCUACUUAGGUCUGCAAAGCCAAUCCUGAAAUGGUUGUAGGCGGAAAGUAACAUAAACCACCACGUAGCUAGGAAGCAAGGGAUGUUGCUCAUUGCACAAGAGGCUUUGGGUAUUUUGAAGAUGUUGGGAAUGUUGGAACAGAAUAGCAGCAGUCUGUGGAAAUCAUGCUGAGAACCCCCAGGGAGGUGAGUGCACGAACUCCCACCGACGGUGGGAGUGAGACGAAGGCUCAGCACCUCCAGGGAUCAGGGCCUCUGAAAUAGUUUCAGUGCCACCGGACCACACUCUUUUACAGUUUAUUUCAGGUCAUUGCUUAACAAACUUUACGUACUGCUGACUGGAACCGCCUGAACUGGGGACAGAAGGUUGUUAUUGUGCGUUGAAGCUCGCACAGAGUUCAUGCCAGCCUGGAGUGUGUUUAUUCUCUCAGCACCUCAGCGACAUCGGCACGCUGUUUUGCAGAUGGACUAAAUGAUGUGCCUGAGGUCCACUGGGACACACAGAGCAGCAAGGACUGUCUGUACAUCAUGUUAGCAGUUUGUGUCCUGGCAGAUAAUGUCCCACUCCCCAGUAGCCAUCUUCUCAUCAGGCAGGUUUGGGGUGGCCCAGGACCGAAUGAGUCCUGGAGAUCCAAUGUGCAUUGAGAGGCGUUUCAGGUACCAUUGGGGUCUCGUAACCUCUCCAAGUCUCAGCUGGAGGGUGGAGAUGCUGCCUUCUGCUUUGACCAUCAUGAACUGCAAUCAGGGGCUUGUGUGGUCUUGUCCAGCUCUCAGUGCACCAUCCCUCUCCCUUCCUUCUGCUGGGUUUAGCUGUCACCUUGUGUCAGAGUAGGCUGGUUCAGGAAUUAAUCCUUCAGAAAGCUAGCCCCAGGAAACAAGGCAAUGGUUUUCUGUCAGAUCAAGGUGCAGCAGGGCGACAGUGCUGCUGCAAGGUGGGAACUUGUGCUAGGAGGUGGAGCAGGGCAGAUCUGAGUGAUGCCAGCAACUGUCCUAAACUCUCUUGCCUGAGGUGUGAGAAUAGCUGAAGAACAUUUAUUUACUGCUAAUGGAGAGAAGGUCCUAGGGAUAAAACUUGUUCCACUCUGAAAAAAUGCUCUUGAGCCAUUGUUCAAAGCUGACCAGUUAAGGGAUUUUUUUUUCCCCUUUUGCCAGCGCAGUUCAGUCAGGUUUUUGUAGUAUUUCUUUAUUUUGUGGUGGGGUAUUUGUACUAAUUCAGUGGGAUGUGCCUCUGAACCCACUGCUAAAUAUUGAGUUCUGCUUUGGAAACUCGCUUUUUUCUUAAAACAAAUGUGUUUUUUUAGUCUGUGCCAGUGCAAGAUAAUCUUUCCAAAUGGAAAGAUAGCUGUGCAAAGAAUGUAGCCCCAGGCAAACUUGAACUUGCAGGGCUGGAGCUGCCUCAUUCACCUAGUCAGAGACUCCACUUUGAACUCCCACCAUAUGAAAACAGCGUCAAAAUAGUUAACUGUUAAAAACGCAGCUUAUUUUAGCAUCCAACUAAAAUCCUUAUUUGGGUAGCCCAAAAUGCCACACAUCCUUCCUUAUGGGUCAAAUGUCAAAACCUCCAUUUCCCCUUGGCAGGCAGCAGCUAAAAGACAAGUUUAAUGUAUUGCUCCAAACACAGACGACUCUGAGGCUGGAGGUAGCAUAAUGUAAGUGGAAUUUUAACAGCAACUUGAAAAUCAUGCCAGUAAUGCUAUUGAGUGCAUUUUUCACAUCCACUGAAUUGCCAGGAAGACUUCUGCUUUUCUCCUGCUUUUAUAAAGAAAUGAAGCAUCCAUCAUGAUCUGCCAUGUGCAUGUGUGGAUCUGUCCUUCUGCCCGCACAACUUCUGACCCUGUCAGUCAGGGUGGCCAGAUCUAGCACAGCAGUGGAGGUCCUGAAGGCACCGUGUUGCUAAAAAGUGGGCGAGGGGUAGAGGAGAGCCAGGCUGAGUGUCCCCUUGUCCUCUGUUAGAUGCCUUUUGGGGCAGAAGCCCACGAGCAAGAGGGAGGUUAGUUAAGAGUGCUGCAACCAGGUGUUCAGCCUAGGUUAUGCAAGCUUGAACAUUACUAGGCACCAGAGAUGCUGACUGCAAGAACCAAAUCCACAAGGGCGUGUUAAUAUGUCCACAUCUACUACAGCAGCUCUGCUCAGGCUAAACUGAAUAUCUGCAGAGCUCCUUGCAUUGGAAGAAAUUAUUAUAAGUGUAAUGCAAUUAAUAACAGCUCUAAGGAUGAUACGUGAAUGAAAAAAGCCCACAGAGCUCAUCUGUCCUUGCUGCCUCUGGGGCUUUGCCAGUAGGUGCACCAGGUGUCCGGGCUCCUUCAUGGCAGCUGUGUCUGGUCAAGAGCUAACCAGGUCAGGCCAUGAGCUGGCUGUCAUUGUUAAGCAUUAAGACAAUAAAUAACACCUUGUGGAGCAGCUUCUUGAAAAUAACGCUACGCCCUGCCCCAGUCUCACUUGAGUUUGCUGUGAUGCUUGUAUGAAAAUGGUGAUUUAGAGGGAGGGGGAAGCCUGGGAAGAUUUCGAGGCUCUGGCCCAAAGGAGAAAUGUGUUUUCAUGCUAUCCCUUGGCAAAUGACUUGUUUCCUUCUUGCCCUUUGCAGUUGUUUCCUUUCCCCUGAGUUUCAGGAUCAUACUCGCUGAGCAUGGUGUUUGUCAAGGGAACAGCAAGAAGCCCUGUCUGUGAGAAAGUCCAUGUCGUUUGUUUUAUCCACAUCCAGGAAUUGAGCUGAGGUAAACAAUUCAGGAGGCAAAACAGUGAAAACUGGAAUGCAAGAGGUGUGUUUGUGUAUGGCUCUGUGCUAGACCUGGCUGCAGUAAUUUAUCUGCCCGAUGAGCAGCUGUCACUGUUACCCACAAACACAGCUGGGUUUGUGAAGACAGGGUUUCAUCCUGCCAGUCAGUAGCACUCCUGUACCUGCUUCUCCUGGUCAUGUGUUCAGCACUGGUGACCUUGGAGAAUCAGCAAUUUCCUUGGUGGAUUUUUUGCAUUUCUGUUCGGAUUGGGCAAUUCCAGCUUUCCGAGCAUGGUCAUGGCUGCCUUCCCUGCUGGGGCUCUGAUUCCUUCAGGGAGGGUCUUUUGGUUUAAGCAGACAAAGAGGAAGGUCAAGGUAAAAGGUAAAGAUGAUUUCAAAGCCCUUCUGUUACAGGAGGAGGGCUGAGCUUGGUGGUGUACUGAGUUUCCAGGUGUAAGAAUUUCUGGUUUCUUUCCUUGACUCGGCACAAUAUGUAACGCCAAUCCAGUGACUGUUUAGCAAACCCCUUCCGUAUCAGAGGGAUGCAAACCCAUGGUCAUUAUGUGCACAUCCAGUAUUGCUUCUACCCAGCAUCACCCCUGGAUCUUCCUUAGGGAGGUGCUGCCUAAAUCAGUGCAUGUGUGACCACUUUUGAGGGUGUCCUUUAGCAGCACAUAUCUAACAUGUUUGGCUUGGCUUUCCAACGUGUCCUUGCUGUUUGCAUCUUCCAGAAGAAGGAGGUUUGUAGUGUCCAUGUCUGCCUGGGGGAGUUGUGUUGUAGGUGUCCCUUUGCUGUGUGCCAAGCAACAACAUGCUGCUUCAUGGGUGCCGAGUGUGCUAUGGGAUUUGGAGGCUCACCACGGUGCAUGAUCCUGUUGUGGACUCAGGAGAGAAGGAAAAAUCCUUGCUAGGGGUCGUAACAUUUUGUGCAGAUUCUUUUCCGCUGCCUUUUCAUCCCUGCUGAGCUGAUCUCGUGACAGUUGUGCCCCAUUCUCUCCCUGUUCUACUGCAUAUCCUCAUGGUCCAUCAUACAGGUCUUGGUCCUUGUCUGGAAACUGGGUAGGCUAUUAUAGGGAGUUAACCCAACCAAAUCUUCACUUUUUGGGAAAAAUGAGUUUUCUGCCAGUUCAGCAGAUUGCAAAUGCUGUCCUAUUAUUAUUUCCACAAAGAUAAGCUACCUUCAGCAAAUGUGGUCUACUUUGACUUCAGUAAAGCAUCUGACACAGUCUCCCACAGCAUCCUUGCUGCUAAACUGAGGAAGUGUGGUUUGGAUGAUCGGGUAGUGAGGUGGACUGCAAACUGGCUGAAGGAAAGAAGCCAGAGGGUUGUGGUCAAUGGGGCAGAGUCUAGUUGGAGGCCUGUAUCUAGUGGAGUGCCUCAGGGGUCCAGUACUGGGACCAGUACUAUUCAAUAUAUUCAUCAACAACUUGGAUGAGGGACUAGAGUGCACUGUCAGCAAGUUUGCUGAUGACACCAAGCUGGGAGGAGUGGUUGGCACGCCAGAAGGCUGUGCUGCCAUCCAGCCAGACCUGGACAGGCUGGAGAGUUGGGCGGAGAAAAAUGUAGUGAAAUAUAACAAAUGCAAGUGUAGAGUCUUGCAUCUGGGCAAGAACAACCCCAGGUUCCAGUAUAAGAUGAGGAAUGACCUAUUAGAGAGUAGUGUAGGGGAAAGGGACCCGGGGGUCCUGGUGGACAGCAGAAUGACCAUGAGCCAGCACUGUGCCCUUGUGGCCAGGAAGGCCAAGAGCAUCUCCCAUAUGAGGAAAGGCUGAGGGAGCUGGGUCUCUUUAGUUUGGAGAAGAGGAGACUGAGGGGUGACCUUAUUAAUAUUUAUAAAUAUGUAAAGGGUGAGCGUCACGAGGAUGGAGCCAGGCUCUUCUCAGUGACAACAAUAGGACAAGGGUCAAUGGGUACAAACUGGAAUACAGGAGUUUCUACUUAAAUAUGAGAAGAAACUUCUCAGUGAGGGUGACAGACACUGCAACAGGCUGCCCAGGGGGAUUGUGGAGUCUCCUUCUCUGGAGACAUUCAAAACCCACCUGGACACAUUCCUGUGUAGCCUCAUCUGGGUGUUCCUGCUCCAGCAGGGGGGUUGAACUAGAUGAUCUUUUGAAGUCCCUCCCAGUCCCUAACAUUCUGUGAUUCUGUGACCGAACUGUCGACUGAAAAAUCUUUACCCACCUUCAGCAGUCACUGCCAACAAGCUGGGAGGUGUUUCUCAUUCAUGAACUGGCCACGUGUGACCUCAUUAAACAUACGAGUUGACAUCAAAUUACAAGUGAACAUGAUGUGGUGGUUAUCCUGUGCAAAGGCCUAAGAGAAAGGGUUAGUGCACAGUUACCAAAGCUUUGCUGCAGCUGAGCAUUUGACAGCUCGUUGUAACUGCAUUAUUGAUUGUCUUCUCUUCAGUGUUCUGUCUCUCAUGUAAUUUAGCUAGAUACCAGGAGAAAAUAAAGUCUCCUGCUGCAUCAGCUUAUGGUAGAAAUAAAUUGUUUUAGAAAGGAAAGGGUCAGUAAUCACGUGCCUUUCUUAUGGACUGGAAUACUGGGAAACAUCAGGUCACUUUUAUAAGCCUUGAACUAUCCUUUGACAUUGCAGCUUUUAUUCUGAAGAAAGCUGCACUGUGCCUCUUGGCUGGUAAGGGAACAAGUUCACUGCCUGGUGCUCUCUGUAGUCAAAGAUCCCAUUAAUUCUGCCGGCUGUGAGGAAUGAUUUCUUGGUAUUUCAUUCUGGACUGUAAUUGAGAGUGACACAAAGCACUGGUGGGAAUUGGACCGUGUUUAAAUCUCUGCUUUUCUUUACAAUUUCUGCAGAUAAACCAGCUUAGGUGGGAUGAGGGGUUUUCUAAUGCUCUGCCCUUGAAAUUAAUAAUGCCUCCAACACCUUACUGGCUGGAGGUGACUUUGGAGAGGAGUUUUUGUGCCUCCUUGCAGCUUGUCCUUGUAGCCAGGUGAUGCAGGAUACCUACAACAGUGAUAUGCUGUUGCAGUCACUUGCAUGGAGUUGUCUAUGGGAGAGUCCUGUAGUCCAAUAACGUAGAGAAAAAUCAUGAAGCCUUGCCCAGUAUUUUGGCUUGAGACCACAGCAAGAUUUCCCUGAAGGAUCUUGCCUUUCAGACUUCAGACAGGGCAGCAUAUUCACAGCUCUUCUGGCUAGUUGUGGAAGACCAAGUCCAUGCUAAUGGACUUCUCUUGGCUUGCUGAGGAGGUUGUUUGAUAACCCUCGCACAUUUUCCUCUUGCUGUUUUCAAACUGGAAAAGGGUGGGCACCUGAUGCCACAUCCCAAGAGUUCUUGCUGUUCAGUCUGUGGGAAGUGGUGGAUGCAGUGAGUUUUUGAAGGCAUUUCUGUGGUUUUGAAUGUCCUCCAAGACCUUUUUGGUACCUCCAAAGAUCAGGUGUGUGUCCCUCAGUGACCUGUUGCCUAUAGCGUAGGGAGUGCCCUGUAGUUCAGAAGUCCCAAAUUUUCCUCUUGAGGGGACCACAACAGGUCCUGCCUGACCCCAGUGAAGGCAGAAGAUAAGAAUCAGUGAAACUGUCCAGAAUUUGGCCAUUUUUCAUCUGGAAAGUUGCUUGUGGGUCAUUUUUUGUUUGAAUCCAGGAGGUUUUGUCUGUGGAGUUCGGUGUGCUGUUCAUCUGUGAGCUGAACUGUUGGGGAGACACAGGGUUUGCGACUGGCGUGAUGGCAGCCCUCCCACGCAGCUCAUGUGGAAAUGCUCGUUUCCUGUGGCUUUCAGCAGGCGAGUGGUUCAUCUCCAUCUGGUGCUGUUUCAUCUGGCACUUCAAAACUAAGCAGAAAGGGGAGGGGAACUGAGUGUGGGGCUCCAUCCUCCUGUGCUGUUGGAGUCCAGAGCUGGUGCAGGGGCUCUGCCCUUUAGCCCGGGCGGGGAUGUGGAGCUGCCAAGACUGUGGAUAAUCCAAGGUGACUGGCUUGGAGGCUCCCUAGGAUGCCUGGAUUGUGUCCUCUGGGUCCUGGCUGCUGGGAGAGUUUGGUAUGGAGGUUGUAGGGUCAGGGUGGAUGGCCACCAUGGUGUUUCUGUUAGUAGUGAGGCUAACUCAAGAACCCCAGGGCUUUCCAUAGUUGUUUUUUGUUUUUCCUGGUCAUCCUUGCUCACCCUACAGUGCCUCUGCUGAAGACAAACUCCAGUACACUGGUCAAUUAUGUGUUGCUUCUUAGGGACUCCUGUCAGGGGUGCUACAAAUCUCCGUGGUAGUUACUUUGCUCUUCUAGGUUUACAGCUGAACAAGCAUGAGGAAAAUACUGAGUGACAACACUAUAAUUAAUCUUACCACUGCUUUCUGAAGGCUGGAAUACCUGCUCCAGGCUCCAUCCCAGGCUCUGGCAAGACACCUCCUAGUCCAGCUGGUCAAGGACAACACUGUCAUGGUGGAACCUUCUCCCUGUCUCCACUAUCCAGCUCCAAGAGCAUUUUUUUCUCUACCAUAGUGCCCACCACUAACCAAGGACCAUGAGUUUGAUACAUCCCUCAUAUGUAGACAGCAUUCUUGCUUCUGAACAUUGUAUGAACUAAAUUGAUGUAAUGGCAGGGAAGUCACUGCAGCACCAUUCUGAUCUGACUGUGGUGUGAAUGGACAGGUAAAUCAUCUGCCAUGAUGGAAACUGGGUUGAGGAGGCCUAAAGCAUUGGGUAUCCCUGGAAGGGGAGCUUUUCCUUUGGCCAUGGUGAGCAGUGCUUUUCCAUGGCUUGUGCAGGUGGUUUUGGGAGGAUUUUGUUUAGACUGUUAAAAAUCCAGGUUGUUAUAGGCAGUCCAUUACACAGGACAUUCGGGGUAAAUCUGGGUUUCUAUUGGUGUUCAGGGAAUAUGAUCAUUCCUGGGACUGGGUGCUGAGACAGUGCCAGAGGUACUACUUACAGGCUAACCCUCUAACCUAUCACUGAAUUUAAAGAGGAAUCCAGAAUUGGGGGAGAAAAACUAGACUAUGGCAAAAUAGUACCUUCUUACACAAUAGGUCAUCUCCCUGUGGGUAUUCUGACUCAUUUUGUUGUUGUUGAUUUUAGUGACUAAAGUAAGUUUAUUCCAUACUUCUUUUCCCUGCCAGGCCCCACAGAUCCUGUAACCCCCAGCUUGAAGGAGUGAGACAGAUUCCAUUAAUUCUUUUGCAUUAUUGAGGGAUUUUGGUUGAUGAGAUUUUUGCCUGGAAUUUGUCUGUGGAGGAGCCCGGCUUCCCACUGCCUGCAGAUGGGACCUGGAAAGCUCAGCCUCCUAGCUGGGUGGUGGGAAUACAACUUCUGACAUCUCCAGGACAAAUUUGGUACCCUACUCCCUUCAGAGCACCUGUCACUGAGAGCAUGGCCAAGGCUGGGCAGGUGUAAACAGUUAGUCUGCAGAGCUUUGAAUAAUGCUGACUGCCUGUUUUGGGCUGAUUUUGGAGAUCUAGACCUCUGUGCACAUGACUGGGGCAUACUUGGUCUGGGGGCACUGGGAGGAAUUUGGCAUGGAGCCCUCUGAUGCAACUGUCUUGUUUAGUAAAACUUGGGCUGUGGGUGUUGGUGUGAGGAAAUAACAACAUCCACUUUGGUUUCUGCAGUCUCUGUCCCGGGGGCUGGCUGGAUGUUGCAGGAGGCCGCAGGAAUCCUGCUCGUGACCACAGCCAGAUUAAUGUCCAUUUUGGCAGCUUUUCAAGAGUGAGGAAUUUGGCCACUUUCACAAUAAUGGCUAGAAAUUCCACAUGAAUUAAUUAGUUUUAUUACAGGACGUGUCCUUCCUGUUCCUCCAGGGCUCCCUGGAACACUGAACUCAUUUCAUGAAGAAAUGAAAAUAGUCCUAAAAAUAAGAACUGGUAUCCCAAGCCUUUGUGAGGAAGCUCGCAGAGUAUACCGACAUCCUCCACCAAAUGUGCUUCCCAAGCUGUGGCUUUUGGCCAGAUGAGAUCUAAACUCAAGUUUAGAUCAGUUGCAGCCAUUAAAACCCCCCAGCUUGUUCCUCAAGGGUGUCUUCUCUCAGCCUCUUGGCCCCUGUUCAGCUUAAGCCAUUCAUCUGGGCUUCUUAAUUACUCCCACAGUUUCAGUUUGAUGGUGUGUUCAGAUCUGACUCUUGGAUGUUGCACAGUGGAGGCUGCAUACCUUCAGCCUUCUGUGUCCAUGGGGUGGGUUUCCAUAGCCCUUGUCCUGCCUUGCAAGGACACCAUUUGCUUCUGUGGUAGUAAAGUGCUUGGAAAUACUCUUGGGAAAGGGUGCUCUGCAUUUGAAUUUUGGUCAAGGGCAUGCCAUAAAAAUGUCAGUAUGGGACUUUGGAAAGGUCAGCUUGAGAGUAGUCAGAAUAAGGUUAGAUUGAGUAAAUAUUUUGGGAGCCCAGAGCUGAUAACUUUCCCUUGCUUACAUUUGUGGGGAGUCAGCCUGUAGAAGCUUACUGCCUCUCACGUGGCUUUUUAAACAAAGGUUGUCCAUGGACUCAGUGUACUUCUGUUUUAAUCCCAUUUUAGAAGAGCUGAUGUCUUGAGCUUCAUGUGCUGCUAAGAGGCAACUGUGCAAAAGACACGCUGUUUGCCAGUUGUUCCAGUGUUUGCUUUAAGAUUACUUCAGAUACUUAUGUUUGGAAAGGGGGUUCUCCGUUUGAGUCUAAGCCCUACUUUCUGCUCAGCCCCACCUUUGUGGAGCAAAGCUUGACUUGUUUGCUUUUUUCCCCCUCUUGUUUUGGAUGAAGUGAGUUCAACAUGAGAAAACUGACCAGAGAGGUGGGAAAGUUCCUGCAGGUCCUACUGAAUAGAAUGUGGUUCAGCUGGUGCUCAGCCCUCCUCAGAAAUGUGACCCCCACCCUACAGGAGAUUAAGGCCAGCUAAACUGACAAAGGGCCGCAACACAAUUUUUUCUGCAUUAACAACAUAUGCCUGAUAGAAGAGUAUAAAAUGAUAUUGCAGACAUAAAUUUCUUCUAAAGUCAGAUAGUUGGAAAGCUUCUGUCUUUCUAGUAAUGUUUGUUAUUGAUUUCAGUCAUUGCUUUCUUCCAAUUUUCUGUUUAUUCUGUCCUUUUAUCAGGCUGGUUUCAAGGAUUUGUUACCUUAACCCCUGGCCAUUAGGCUGGUCCCGCGCAUGCUGAAACCACCCUUUGCAGAUUCAGACCAUGCUGAAAAUGCUUGGGCAGUGCAGAUAUAACCAGGCAGGAGACCAGCCUGGCCAAAGUCCGUCAAGCACAUAAUCCUGUCUUAGAUGGUAACCAGUGGUACACAAAUUGGGAAUUUAUGAAAGGAGUAUGCAGUGAGCCCUGGAAGGUAGGAACAGUGCUGUGGAAACCCAUCAUGCUGCUGAUGCUGCUCAGGUCAUGAUGUCAUGGAUUUCCAAUGCAUAGCCCAGUCUGCCAGAUGCUGACAGAGGUACCUGCUUCAUUGUGUGAGCUGCCCUCCUGACUUCUAGCAGUGCGGCUUCAGGCACCGGGGGUGGCAAGCACACCAUUGUCUGCAUACAUCUCUGCAGUGUCUUGAGGCUUUGGGGUAGGAAGAUCUCCAUGUACGAGGUCAAUCUGGGGUUGCUGUUAACAAAUACAGUUUGUCACUUGUUCCCAUGUACUGCCUCACGCGUCUGGGAGCAGCAGCCGUGGCGAGAAGGAAGGUCCCAUCACUUGGGCUGUGCUCAGUGGAAGCACAGCCCUGCCCCCAGGUCUGUUUUUUUCCUGAGUUACAUGCUGAGAGAGUUCAGCCUCUGGGUGGUGGUUGUCAGCAGUGUCCUGUUCCUUGGAACUGAUGUGCCCGAGCACAGCUGAAAUGGCCCAGCUGACCUAAAAACCUGCUUAUGAUUGAAAUGCAGCGGCCCCCUAUAAAUAUUUAACUGAGUCUGUGUUUGUGGGGUUUUCUUCUUUUUUCUUCCCCCCACCCCCCAUUUCUUCUCUUUUAUUGUGCCUACCUAUGUAGAGAGGGUAGUCAACUGAAUGUAUACCCCCUCCAUGGCAUCCUGUGAUGAAGCUGCAUUUUUGGCACUUAAAUUAUGCAUCUUACUUGUCCCCUGUCAUCAGUACCCACGUUCAAGGUUGACACUGAGCUCCGUGUCACAUGUGUGAACGCUCCUGUGGGUGUCUUUACAACUCACUGCGGGUGGCCCGGUGCCAUGAACAUUACAUCCUGAGAAACUCUGCCGAGUCUGCAGUACGGUUUUGCAGUUCUUCUCUUGAAAUGGUGGACUCCCAUCAGAUUUAGGAAACUGUUUUAAUGGGCAGAGUUCCCAAAAUUUUGUCUGUGAAAGAGCUGUGAAUGGGUGGGACUUCAGGCUCUGUGGCAGAAAGUGUCUGCAAAGCAAGACUGCUAUUAGUGCGGUAACACGAUGAAGAAGAUACCUCUGUGAGCGGCUGGCAGACCAGGCUGUGCUUUGGAAACCCCUGAAAUUGAGGGCUGAGUGGUGCCAGCAGCGUGUCCUGAGCAGGGCUCACUGCCUGAUGCCAAUACCUGGGGCUUGUUGUGAAAGAUGUGCAGUCUGCCCUGCACUGGAAUAACCCUGAGCCUGGUUGCUGUCUUCUCUCUCCAACCAUGGAAGCAUACACGGUGCCUGGAGGACAUGCAGUCACAGCCUGGCAGGGACUGGGACAUGGGAGACCAGGUACUGUCACCUUGAUGGAGCUGGGGGGUUUGGCUAGGGCUGCUAGCUUCAUUGCAGGAGCAAUGCCAUGGGGUAGGGUCACACCAUUGCAGCUCAGUGAGGAGCAAAUGCAACUUCCUCAUUGUGACCGUGGUGAACAGCUGCAUUUUGGAGCCAGAGGCAUGGCGUUGGUUCGCUCCGAACCUGGCCUCGUGCAGCAUGGGGCUAGUGCAGUGCCAUUGUGUCCUGGCUUGUGUGGCAUGGGGAGAACUGGGCUUUGGUGGUGUCAGCUGGUUAGUCAGACCUCGAGCAGUCUUAGGCCAGGCUUACAGGCUUGCACUUUUUCCAGCUAGAAACAUGUAUCUGUUUUAAGGCAGCCAGGGCACAGAGUAGGCAAGACUGAACCUCCCUGAAAGCUUUGUAACUCCCCAAGGAGCUGGCUCAGGGACAGGUCUUAGACACCAAAAUUUGGGCAAACAUAUGUUGCAGUGCUGCCUGGAGACUUCUGUCCAGGGUCUUUCCUGUAGAGAGACAUACCCGGGAAGCAGAAAUAGCAAGCAACUAAACGUCAUGGUUACAUCCCUGCCCUCUGAAAAGAGCUCCCUAUUUUCUUUUGGCUGCGAAAAUUAACUUCUCUUUUUUCCUCCCGGAGCAGGCGAGCUGGCUCCAGGCGGCCGUGCCCUCGUGGCGGAUGCGCAGGACAGUCCAGCAGAAGCCUGGACUUUUGUGGGAUGAGAGCCCAAUGGAUAAGGAAUGAUCCAGCAGCUGCUGAAUCCAGGAGAAGUCAAGAGCUGUGCUGAGAUGUUACAGUCCUGGCGCUCUCCCUCCAGGAUGGGGUAAGGAAGAGGCCAUCAAGACAUUACGGAGAGUGUAGUGUGACACUGAACCCAUGAGGCCCUUGGAGGUGCUGGAGCAAAGCCCUACAAUGAUGUUUUCCUGAGGGACUCAUUGACCCUCUGGAUGGGGUAAAUGUCUGCAUCUGUAGCCACCCCCUUUCGCCCCUCCUGCAAACUGAAUGGGGCUUUCCUGGAAGCUCAUCCCGAAGCUAGGGCUGGUGGCUUGCUGUCACGUGAAGCAGUGCAAAUCCAGGGUCUGGACCGUGCUUGGACGGGUGCUCAUCCAGUUUCAGAGGGUAGGGGAGCAACUCUGCAAGGGAAGUUUUCCCAGGUUUCAGCAAGUCAAGUGACCAUCAGGGCAUGCGGGCUGAGAAGGCAGCGGACCUUCAUCUCUUAGCUCCUCUUUUCUGGUUACCUGUAGUGCUGUCUCUUCAACACGCAAAUUCCUCUCUGCUUUGCAUUACCCAUAAUUCAAACCAGUGCAAAUUGCUUUCCUUCACCACUGCUAUCUGUUUUCUGACUUAGCGUUUCUGCUGUUGUUGAGUUUUGGCCUUCACCCUUUGGGGGCUGGCACCCACUGAACCCAGCUGAGAAUGUGGCCCUUUGUGCUGGAGCUGUUUGCAGGAGCCGGGGAGCUUUGCCUUCCCCGCUGCGAGCCGUUUUGGCUGGCGAAUGUGUGUCCUUUUCUGGUGGGGAGGGAUUUAGGGGUGAGGGGGAGGUGAGAGCGCUUCUUGUGCUGGAAGAAAAAUGAUGAAUGACUCUCUUGUGCUUCUGAACAAAACCAGGAAAUUGGGGGGGGGGGGGGAAAAAGCAAAAAAGGAGGAAAUGAGAAACAGUAAAGAGGCCUCCCCCACCUUCAUAUAAGCAAUCACUCCACAGCAUCUGCAGCCCAGUAAAAGGGCCGUUCCCAGGAGACCUCGCACUCACCGGCCACACAGAUCUCCGUUAUUGCAAAGGAGCCUGGGGCUUGCACCCCCACCUCCCCUGUGCUGGCACCCCAAACAGCAUAACCAGGGCAGACCAAAGCUCGGUUUCUGUGGCCAUCGGUACCAGAGGUGCAUAUGUCCAACUUGGCUGGGGGGCCAUGGUCUGGAUCCGGCCUGAGGACAUGGUUGCUUUGCUGUUGAACCACCCGGAGCACUCGAUACGGUGUUUUGCUGGCACGCUGCUUGCAGCGUCACGUUACAGCCGUGCAGACGAUGCGAUACUCUAUCUGGUGUGAAAUCUGCUGGAGCAGAGUCACCCCUCCUGCCCUCUUCCCCUGAACUGUUUUGGAUGCAUUAGAUAUAGCAGGGAUGAGUGCAGAGCAGGUCACUGGGUAUUGUGGUUUGUGUCUGAUUUUAAGCAUCCUCAGAAUGGACUUAAUGUCUCGAGAAACCCUGUCGUAAGUUAUUUAGUUAAAAUGAUGCAGGAAUACACAACUCUGGUGGCACUGGAGGUGGUGGCACUUCAGCACGAGCCGUGGCUUAUGAGGUCUCCAUGCAGAGCGUGGUCCAACAAAGCUCUGCUGAGGCUUGUUCUCGCAUAGCCACAUCCACCUCUAUCCCUGCAAGGUGUUCAAGGCAGGUGGCUCAGUCUGAAGAAGCUCCUUCACUAUUAAAAACUGUAUCUGGUAGAGACUUUAACAAGCCAAACACUUCUUCGGUGUAACCUCACUGGUGUUACUGGUAUACUCAUUGUGUAAGGGGCUCAUCAGCUAUGGGAAAACUAUUCCUGAAUGUUGCUUUAAAACCAUUACAUAGGUUUUGAAAGUAGAGACACUGUGAGGGGAGCAACUCUCACUCACUUUCAGCUGGAGUUGACUUAAGCAGCUGAGAAUCCUCAUCAUGCUGGCCCAAACACCAGCUGCUAAUUUGGUUCUAUCUUUUAUCUCUCUUUUGUCUCCAUCAAGUCCCACCUGAGUUUAAAUGUUAGGUGGGGACAAGCAGAGAGCCUGGCUGUUUCUCCUUCUCAGGCUGAGCCUGCAGAGGAGCUCUUCUUUGCCUGUAUGUAGGUGUUAGGUGGGGUUUGCCAACUGUUGUCCUUUGUGGUGAGGAUGAUCAUAUGGCAUUUGAGUCCUGUUUGGGGAUUUUCAGUGUCAGGGCUCUGUAGGAGAAUUGUUAGUAACAGUAUUAGUGCAGGUACUGUGGAUGCUCUAUACUGCUUUUAUUUCUUGUAUUCAGAGAGUAUAUUUUCAACCAGACUUCAGUGCUUCUGUGACCCUAUUCUCAUUCUUGUGAAUCCAGAGGGUAUAAUGCAUCUCUGAAAGAUACAUUUGCUGUCCUGUGUGAGCAUAAGGAGAGUUUCCUCUCAUGAAAAGUUCAGUCUAAAUCAGCACCUUGGAUAUUUGCAGUUGCUUUGAAGUUCCCACCAAUCACCUUGUGAGCAGAAGGGGCUCCUCAUCCUGUUUCACAAAUGCAGUGUCCUCAAUAUGUAACUCUGCUUGGUAUGUUCCCAAAGGACCUACCUUUUGAGGGGCUGGGGACAGGGAUGGCUGGACUUGUGGAAGGGGCUGCGAGUGCUCACAUGGAGGAAAAACAGAAACACCCUAGUUGCAGAGGAGGUACAGACACCAUGCUGUUGUGGGAGAAGACAAGGAGUAAAAUGAGGUUGUAUCCUUGCAAAGUGGUAUCUUCAGUUUUUCCCUAAUUAGUUAAUGGUGGUGUUGGAGGCAAUGCUAGGGAUUUGGGCUGUUCAGCUGAGCUCAAGAGGAAAAGUAACAUUGCUCUUGAGUUGAGAGCAGCUCCCAGGGUUGUUCAGUCUCUAGAGGGAAGUGCCAAGAUGGACAGUAUUGCAAAAAGUCUCAGGUCUUCUUUCCACAACCCACAGGGUAGUGCCAGCAGUGCCCACAGGAGCCUGGUGAGGAGUGUCUGGUCCCUGAAGGAGGGCACCUUACAAUUUCCCCCAUGCCUCCUUUUGGGUUUAUACCAGUGAUGCUUUUAAAGCAGGGUCCUUGGGUGGCCUCGGAGGGGGAUAUGCUGAGCCAGCAGUUGCUGCUGCUGGAUCAGACCCUGGGCAGGUAUGUGAAGUUUUGGGGAAGCUCUGGAGCAUCACAGCCUCCUCUGCUGGCCACCCCUGUGUGAGUGGGACCUUUCACUCUUAUUUGUGCUGGCACAAACGGGCAGUAUUUGAGCCUGGUGAAUUUACUUUCUCUGGAAGUGACUUGAUUGGAAACCCCGGAUGACUGCUGCAAUUUUGGUCCCAAGCCCUUCAAAUUAGCUGGGUCCUCUCAAAGGGAGAGAAAUCUCUGCACUUGUCUUUCUUGGGAAAGGCUCCUGAGGGAAGUCUGACUCCUCUGUGGUUUAUGUAACACCAUGCUGAGGUGUCUGUGUGUCCUGACGUCUUACUAAUUUGCCAGGGAUGAUUUUUUGGGGUUAUUUUUAACAGAUGCAUUGUGCAACUAAUGGGCUUUUUAUUGGUGGCAAACAAGCUGAGCCAGGCAGGAAUGCUGCUGAGGUUAGGUGGGCAGACUUAUCUCUCAGUGCUGUAGAAAUAACUUGUUCAGUUUUUGCCUUUAAAAAAAAACAGGGAGAGAGAAGACCUAUGUUUCUCCUGUAGCCUGAUGUUACUACUCCCCUGUGGAAGCAGCGGCAGAGUGGCUGAGGUGCACGCACUGCAUCUCAUGGCCUGAUUUUUGUGUCUAAAGUUACUCUCUUGCUGGGAGGUAAUGGCUUUGCCCAGCGUAGCCGGGUUGUGCAGGGCCCAUCGUGCCCUGGUAUGAACAGCUGCUCCCUGCAAAGCUGUGGGAUGCUCGGGGCUAAAUGCAGGGAGCUGGUGAGUCUUGAUGAAGGCUGUGGAAACUGGUGUUUCUUAUCAUACUUCUUGCUUGAUAAGCUCAAAACUGGCUGUGGACACAUAGCAUUACAAAACAUUUUCACAACCGUUCUGGGACAUGAGCAAGGUCGUAUCAGAAACCAGUACAAUUAAGGGAAAUGUGGGUACUGCUGCAGAGUGUGUGGCAGCUGCCUUGAGCGUGCCUAGGGGUGCUCAGUGUCUGAGCCCCGUGGGGCUGAGGCUGGGGCAGCUCCCCGUUUGGUGCAAGCCCCAGUGCCCCAGGCUCAGCCCCUGUCCCUGCAGAGUGUGUGCCACCACCGUCCAGCCUACACUCAAGUGAAAAGUAUCAAACUUCAGCAGCCAAGAAAAGAGUGCUGACCUAUUUUGGACACUUAUUUAUAUUCAAGUUGCUUCUCUCUGUCUCUGUGAAAAAGUUUUUGUGACUCCAGUACUUUUAAAAAGGUUUUCCCCCUCCCAUAGCUUUUGUUUUUAAGACGAUAUAAUCUUAGGCUAACAUCUGCAUUUUUCAGUAUUCAGAAUAAAUGUCGUAUUAUUUCUUUUAGUUUUCUUGCUGAAACAACACUUUUACAGAGCAAAGCCUGCUUGGUAAUACAGAGAAGCCUUUGGUUGUAUUGUCUCAAUUUUUACAGGUCCUCUUUUUAUUUAAGGUCUUUGCUACAAUCCAAAGCAUUCAGACCAAAAGAGGAAAAAAAGUUGAAAAUGUGUCACUGCUGUCUCUGACAUGAGCCGCAAUGAAAAGUCAUCUCGUGUGGAGUCACAAAAAUUCUGGAAAGCUGUUGUUUUUAGUUUCUGGGUUUUUUGUCACUAACUGACUGUCUGUUGCUUUGCUGAGAUCUUGAUCUUCUCCUGGGAGGUCUUAUCGGUGAAAAUGGUGGGCUGAUGGUCAUGGUGCUUUUGUUUGUUUGUUUUUGUUUUCUUUUUUUUAAAGUUUUUGUUGUUGUUUGUUUGCUUUUUUUUGGGGGGGGGGGGAGGUGUUUUUCAGCUAGCUAUUGUCUGAAGUUUAUAUGCUGCAGUUCAGAGUUAACUUCUGAUGUCUUUUAGAUGGAAACUGUAGUGUCUAUGACAGAAUUGUAUCAUUGGAAUAAUAAUGAAAUUUGAACUGGUCUCUCAGUGCUGCUGUGUGCAUUGACAUUAGCUGGAUACUUGUUACCCUGCAUAUUUUAGGACUUUCAUUUAUUACUGUGAACAGUAGGAAUGUAAUUUAGGCACUUAACCACCAGGAAAAAGAAAGGCAAAUGCUGAGGGUAUGGUAUCCAUGUGAAUGAGUGACGGUUGUUAUAGUCCAUUGUAUUCCGUGAUUUUUCUUACUUUAAGGUAUGAGCUUGAUGCAGUGACAUGGCAGUUGUAAACAACAUCUGUCCUGAGCACAAGGAAUUUCCCUGGAGCUGACUUUAACUGCCCCUGGCUGGCAACUUUAGCAGAGCUGGGGAUGGAGAGCACUUUGAGGAACACAUACCCUAUGCAUCAUAUAUCAGGUCUGAAGCCUCAGUUUUCCUAUACUGGAAGAACAUGAAGAAAUUUUUUUUUUCUUUUUCCUUGAGUCCCUUAGAAUUCAGUCCCUUGUGGUUUUGCUUAGUUGUCUUCACGGUGCUGUUGGUGUUGUGUACACGUGUGUUGGCUCCACACUUUACAAACCAGAAUGUCAUCUGGGAAAACUUUUGAUAAAGUUACUGGGGAACACUUUUAGUUUCUGGGUUGUUGGUUUCUUGGAGAGGUUUGGAUCCAAAUGUGAGCACUGGGUGUUCUUCUUUCCCUGUAUGGCUGCCACCAUAUUUGCCUCUAAGUAGGAAGACUGAUUAAAUUACAGUGCAUCUCUGUUAAUGUGCAUGUAUGGCAGUUCCCUUAAGUUUCAUAUGAGGGGUUUUGUUUUUUUUUUUUUUCCUGUGGUGAGUAAUCAUGCUCAUACAUCUAGAGGGUUGAGGAAAGAGCAGUGCACAGCAAUUGCUAGAUAUGCAUUUCAAAAUUCCCCAUGGAAGACUGUCUAAUUAGAUUUAAUGAGCUGGCUCUUGAGCAUGCACGUGCGUGUGUGCUUUUCACCACCUCUCUCUAGCUAACAGGAUCAGAAGCGCUCAUGUGUGAGUACGUGGGAGAGAUGUUUUUGUACUUGCAGAGUGCAGGAUUGAAGCAGACUUUUACCUGCGUUUCUCAUGUCUGUGCUGUAAUAAGAGACUUCCAUCGUGGAGGUGGAGCAUUUGGUAAUGCAGGUGGUAAAUUGGAAGUGAGGUUUGCUGUGGUUUCAGCUGCUUAGGUGAGCAGGGAUGGGAGCAGAGAAUCUUUGAUAGCUGAUAUUCCACCCUCCAUAACACACUCCCAAGACCCGUUGGUGUGGGGGGCAGCAGAGAUACAGUAGGUCAUAGGACCUGUGCCACUGAGCUACUAGAGGUCUUAAGGUUUCCCACCCCUCCAUUGCUGGUGACAGCCCUGAGUUGUGUAAUCUGGCGUUUUUGCAGGGGUCACAGCUAUGGGUCAGUGCUCUGUUUCCAGGAAGGACCAGUCUGGGUAGAGAGCUGUGCUGAGAGGGUGGCCAUUUUAAUGAGGGAUUUCUCUUUGUGUUUUUGCUUUUUUUUUAUUAAUUAACCUUUGUUUUCUGUCAAGAAAGCUGUCCCCAGGCACAACUUAGUGAGGCAAACAUGCUUGGACAAAGGGAGCAUUAAGCUUGCACAGAGGGAGGGGAGAGGGUUACACCUCUAAUUACUUUGUGUGCAUGUAAUUUUUUUUUUCUUUUCUUUCCCCUCUGGUGACUGAUGGGUCUUGAAAGGACUUGCCGAGGUUGCUGUGUGACUCACCAGGGCAGAGCGUGUUCUGGGCUGAAGCUGCGGGCUGUCUGGGCCCCGAUGACGAGGGCAGGCAAUGCCCUUGUGCUGCUGUUGCUCACGCCUGAGUCAGCGCUUGUGCAGCACGGCUGCUCCCAAGCUGGGGGCCAGGCUGUGGGUUUUGCUGCUCGUGCCGUGGCUGAGCUGAACGGGAGGAUGGAGAGGUUUGGUUCUGCCAUGUGAGCACUCUCUUGAGUGGGGUGGUUUGGAAGCACCUGGAAUGGCAUCUUUUGGUAGCAGUGUACCUUUGUGGGUGCUCAGAGCCAUCCUGAGCAGAUGAUCUGAAGCGUGGAGCUGCAAAACUGUAUCUGCCAACCAAGGGCAAGAGAAGGAGACAGUCCUGGACCCCUGCAUCUCUACCCUUAAAUAGGGACACAAGCAGAGAAAAAGGGAUCGGUGCUCUCCCACUCUUCUAAUUAACAGCAGACUCCAAACCACCCAACCUACUAUCUUGUCUCUUUCUCUGUCUUCAUGCCUGGCUCUGGAGCUCAUGAUAGACACGCAGGCGCUCCUGAACAAAAUGAGACCUGGUUUUGGCUGGGAGGAAGUUAGGGCUCAUGAUGUUCAUGUGGGAAGCAAGAAGAGGGAGGAAGGGAAAAUAGGGUGGAGGUGGAAAAUCGUGAAUAAGCUGUUGUUCAGGGAAGAGGAAGAGAAACUGAGGAUGCCCAGGAGAGGGGAGAAGGAACUUGUGGAGUGGGCUGCAGUCCUGGCCCUGAAGCCAGUGGGUUAGGAGGGGUUGGCAGGGAGUUGGGGAUCUGGUUUUAGGCAAGCAGUGUAAAAUAUGGUGUGGAGUUCAAGGAGGGAAGCUCCAAAGCCAGUGGGCUUGGGUCCUAAAGAAGCCACUGGAGGGAAUGCAUUUUAGCCUGUUUUCUGUGAAGGUUUUCCCUUUCCCACUAAUUUUUGGAUCCAUUGACCAACUCCCUGCAGGUGGCUUGGUGCAGAGGACUGACCAAUGAUUUCCUUCCUAAAAGUCUGGUGAAAAUCACAGGCCAGGUAGAGGAGGAAGGGCCUUGCUAAUACCUGCUUGGAGAAGAAGGCAGUAAUGUGGGUUCAACUACUCUAUUAGACAUCAGGGCAUCUACGUGGGUGCUAGUGGCCAAGAAGCACUCAUGGGUCGCACUGCUCCUGAGGUGGCUUGCUCUCCCUUUGGUUAAACAAUGCACUUUCUGCACUAGAAUCAUAAAAUCAUUUAGGUUGGAAAAGGUCCUUGAGAUCACUGAGUGCAACCAUAAACCUAACACUGCAAAGUCUACCAUGUUCCUAAAUGCCACAUCUACUUGUCUUUUAAAUACCUGUAGGGAUGGUGACUCAACCACUUCCCUGGGCAGCCUUAUCUGAUACUUGACAACCCUUGCAGUGAAUAAAUUUUUCCUAACAUCCAAUCGAAACCUCCCUGAUGCAAUUUGAGGCUGUUUCCUCUUGUUUUACCACUUUUUUGGAGAAGAGACCAACCCCCACCUCGCUACAACCUCCUUUCAGGUAGCUAUAGAGAGGGAUAAGAUCUUCCCUCAGUUCAGGAGUGGCUUCCACCCCCUUCUUCUACCUUCCAGUUUCCUGUUCUCACCAGGUGAAAUAUUUCAGACACAGUCUCCUGGUCUUUUGGGGACUGCUGCCUUUGAGGAAGGGUCAUUUUGGCUGUUGUUGAGAGGAUACUGUCAGCCCCGGAAGUUUGGAGUGGCUAUUGGUCCUGCAGGGUAUGAACACCGUCCUGUGCAUCUCAGUUGGCCCUGAUAGGAGACAGGAUCCAGGGCAAAAAUGGGCCUUUGUUCUGUGUCUGUUUGGCUACUUUUUGGGUUGUCUUGGAAUAUAGCGAGAACAGUAUGUCUUGGAGGCAAUGUGGCCAGAAGAGAUUCUUGCAGAGUUAGGUUUUGCAUAUGGAAAAAGCCUAGCCCUGCCAUGGCAGCUGGGAAAUGCAGGGGAUGGGGCCCUUCCUCAAGCUAGGUGGUUCAAGGUUUGUGUCCUAUAGCUUGAGAGAUUGGGCUUUUCCACUUCUGGGCAUGCCACUCAAAAACUCGAGUUUUUAACUAUUGGGACUUUUUUUUUUUCCCUGCUUUUCCAGCCUUCCCUUCUUCAUUUCACCAAUUCCCCUUUCCUGCUCGGAGGUGAUCCCAUACUUUAAUAAAGCUCAGUGUUUCUGAGAAAAUACUUGUCAGUGGAUUUCCCCCCUGCAUCCUCCUAUGAAUAUCUCUUACAUUGGGUUCAUUAAUGAAAAAUUGUCUCUAGCAAAAGGGAAUGAACAUGUUUGCCAUUUCAAGCAAAUUUCUAGUCUAGCUGGGGUGGGGAGAUCUGUCUCCAGUGUUGCCUCUUUGGUUCCCUCAGGUCUUCUCUGCUGAUGGAAGAUCAGUUGCAUCUUACAGCUUGCAACAGGGUUAUAAACUCUUUCUUUGAAAAACAAAAAACAAACAAACCAAAAAAAACCUAACCCACACCCUCCCAACUGUCUGGAGUUCUUUUGUGAAGUGGAGCUGAGGGACUGCAGCAAACUACCUCUUUUGCAGGAAUCCCUUUUGGCUUGAAAGGAAUUAUUCAUGUAGUUAUGCAAUCCAUGUUGAAUUUUAAAUUUGUCAGAGUUUUCCCCUGCCCCCUCCCUUCUGUCCACCAGCCCAACUUGGCUCCUGCGGAGUCUCUUCAUCGACUGACAGGCUUUAGAAAGAGUCCUAAUGUGUAAGUGCAGUCCUGGUCCUGCAGCCCUCCGUGCUCCAAGAUCUUUGCUUGCAGCAAGUGGCUGUGGUGCAGAAUGUGAGUCUAGAAUCUCUCCCAGUUUAAG